UACGAAGGGGGCUAGCGUUGCUCGGAAUCACUGGGCGUAAAGGGCGUGUAGGCGGUCAAGUAAGUGGAAUGUGAAAGCCCCCCGGCUUACCCGGGGAUCUGCAUCCCAAACUGCUUGGCUUGAGUACGGGAGAGGAUAGGGGAAUUCCUGGUGUAGCGGUGAAAUGCGUAGAUAAUCAGGAGGAACACCGGUGGCGAAGGCGCCUAUCUGGCCCGAUACUGACGCUGAGGCGCGAAAGCUAGGGGAGCAAACGGG
rnacentral:rRNA from 1 species